rnacentral:rRNA from 1 species
GACGUAGGGACCGAGCGUUGUCCGGAUUCAUUGGGCGUAAAGAGCUCGUAGGCGGCUGUUCAAGUCGAACGUGAAAACUCGGAGCUCAACUCCGAGCCUGCGUUCGAUACUGGACGGCUAGAGUCUGGUAGGGGGAUCUGGAAUUCCUGGUGUAGCGGUGGAAUGCGCAGAUAUCAGGAGGAACACCGGUGGCGAAGGCGGUCAUCUGGGCCAGUACUGACGCUGAGGAGCGAAAGCGUGGGGAGCGAACAGG